CGGAGGGUGCAAGCGUUAUCCGGAUUCACUGGGUUUAAAGGGUGCGUAGGUGGGCAGGUAAGUCAGUGGUGAAAUCUCCGGGCUUAACCCGGAAACUGCCAUUGAUACUAUCUGUCUUGAAUACCCUGGAGGUGAGCGGAAUAUGUCAUGUAGCGGUGAAAUGCUUAGAUAUGACAUAGAACACCCAUUGCGAAGGCAGCUCACUACGGGAAUAUUGACACUGAGGCACGAAAGCGUGGGGAUCAAACAGGAUUAGAUACCCUUGUAGUCCACGCCCUAAACUAUGGAUACUCGACAUCGGCGAUAAACUGUUGGUGUCUGAGCGAAAGCAUUAAGUAUCCCACCUGGGAAGUACGAUCGCAAGAUUG
rnacentral:rRNA from 1 species